UACGUAGGGCGCAAGCGUUGUCCGGAAUUAUUGGGCGUAAAGAGCUCGUAGGCGGUUUGUCGCGUCUGCUGUGAAAACUCGAGGCUCAACCUCGGGCUUGCAGUGGGUACGGGCAGACUAGAGUGCGGUAGGGGUGACUGGAAUUCCUGGUGUAGCGGUGAAAUGCGCAGAUAUCAGGAGGAACACCGGUGGCGAAGGCGGGUCUCUGGGCCGAUACUGACGCUGAGGAGCGAAAGCGUGGGGAGUGAACAGG
rnacentral:rRNA from 1 species